UGGGACACCAAGCCAGACAGCAUUCCCUGGAGUCCCAAAUGCCGAGGAGGUGUGACGCUGGAACCUCAGGGUGUCCAGAUGUAUUAAUAGAAAAACCCAGAGCCUCAGAGUUCCAUGAAACCUUUUGUUUUCUUUCAAAUUUUAGCACCUCCUGCCUUUUGCUUGGCAUGUGUUGCUUUUAAUCAGCAUAACUUCGCCUGCUCAGCAGACACUGGAGCUCCCAGGUCCCCCAGACACCCAUCUAGUCAUGGAGCCCUUGGCACUUUGGAGAAAAAGAGGGUGACUGGAGAAAUCGCUGCCUUUGUCAGUCGAUACCAAGAUAUAUGGCACCAAAUAUCAGCCAAAGAUGGACCCAUGCAAUAAGGAGCUACUCGGCUGAAGCCUUUUGCAUAAUUGGAAGGCAAAGUUAACAGCAACAAGAAAAAUUAACAUGUGCGUCCAAGGGUUUAUGUAGCAGAUGCUGAAAAAUAAACACAGGCGGGUGCCCAGGGAGCCCGCCUGACUGUUGCUUCUUCCAGAGUGACAGAGCAGAAUGGGAUGGGGGGAGGGGUGCGUUAGGUCAAAGUCAAGGGCUGUGGGGUCGGGGUCAGGGACUUGGGGUCUGGGACUCGGGCUAAAACCAGCUGCGCACUGUCCAGCUGUGGGGCCCUUGGCAAGGCUGCCCCAACCUUUCCCCAGUUCAGAAAGUGGAACAACAUUAAUGAGAAGCCUCAAGGCCCAUCAGAGGGUCCAAAACCGCAGGGGACAGGACGACUUGGGUUUCCUGGCCGCACCCUCACAGGGCGCCUUCCCAGACAGGGCUCUGCUCCCUGGACACGCACGUGCUCCACGGAAGUGUCCCCUGGAGCCACUGAGCAGCUCCGGGAUGGGUCCCGUUACUCUCCCACUUUCCAGACGAGGAACCAGACACGCAGAGGGGAGCCUUUCGCCCACGGCCACUGCGAAAGCAGCAGAGCUGGGAUCAAACCCAGGCCACCACCCCAGAGUCCUGAGCCCAACUCCGGCUCCGUCCCAUCGGCGGCUUGGCUUCUAUGCAAGGACGAUUUUCCUUCUGGCUAUUGCUCAUUUUAUCAUAGGUCACUGAUGUCUGGGAUAUUCCUUGAGCCCUAGUUCCGAGGAGUCUGACAGGCUGAUGCCCAGGUGGCUUGGGGGUGCCGUGAAGACCGGGUUUCCCUGAGCCCGGCAGCCCCAGGCCGGAUGAGCUGCCUUCUGAGGACUCAGCGUCAGGGAUGCAGCCACAGCGAGGGGUCGCUGCUCCAGCCGGAGGCGGGUGACGAUGUCACAUGAUGCAAAAAUCAUGGGAUGGUGGAAAAGGAAUUUUCUGCAGGUCGUGAGAUGCCAACCCCCUGCCCAUCCCCCAGAACCCAAAUGUGUAGGGAGAAAGGGGUGCAGCCGGAUUCCAGAACAUUUUACUAAAGGAUCAGAGGAGGACGUCAGACCACAAUUGCAGCAGUAGUUUCUCUUUAAGUCAUUGAAUUUCUACAUGUUUUUACCAGCUAAGUUUAAAAAAAUAAUCCCUUAAUAGGAGUUUGACUCCGUCAGCAUGUCUGGGUCUGCACUUUUUCUACUCUUCUGAGACUGUGAUGAGACCAUGUUCAGUCUGUUUGAAAUAAUUCUAAUUAAAGCAAACAAAACUGUGCCGUGGGCUUUGCUCUGUUACUUGAGAACUAUCCUCUAUUACUUGCAUUCAUUUGUCCAUGAGCAGCUAUUGCCUGUGGUCCUCCUUGAGCCUGGACAGUCACUGCGGUUACACCGCUCGGGGAAGCCUUUUCCCAGGGAGUCUGUGAGUGCCAGUGCCCUUGGGGAGGGGCAGGUGCCAGACAAGGAGAAGGUGGGGGCGGGGACGGGCUGGGCACAGGCGCCAUCUGAGUGGCAGCUGCGCCCCCACCAGCCCUGUGGUGCCGUCCUGGACCCAGACUCUGUGUGGCCGCAUCCUCCAGGUGGGUGCCACAGGGAUCUUUCAGAACUGAGGAGAAAGUGUGUCAACUCAUGGGAAAGCCCACUCCAAGGAUGGCAAGAGAAAAGGCCGGCAGGGGGAUGCUUAAAUUAGAAACAGCCCCCUCGGUGCCCCUCUCCCUGUCUCCUAGUCCCCAAGAGGUCUGGGACAGCUGUGUCCCCCCUGGGUUUCAAUCCAGGGUCAGAGGCAGGCUGAAGGUUCUCUCGGAUAUUAUAGGCUCCCGCUUCAGCCUGUCCUCGGUGGGACCUGCUGGCGCUCAGAGGACUCACCUUCGCCCCACUCUGCUGAACUCCGGAGCCGCAGCUGCUGCCCACUCUGCAGAUGCAGGCACCUCACGGAAGGUUCCUGCCGUGGGGCGUGGGCCCCUUGGGGAAAUGCCCUCACACUUAGAGAGUCUGGUCGCACCACGGCUGAGUUACAGACAAGAUAUUUGUCAAUGUCUUGACCUGGAACUUGUAUCCUAUUUUAAAGCUUAAGCCAUCCUUUUACAUAUGUCAAUAGUAGCUAUUGAUAAUGUUAGCAACAACACAAGUGCAGACCUGUCUGCAGGCCCCCUGCAUUUGUAGCUCAUGCCCCUCCCCUUUUCCCCUUAAUCCUCCUCCCCAGGGCUCCUGAGACAGAGCAGGCCUGUGGACCAGGCAGGGUUCUUCACAGCUGGUUUGAUUGCUCAGGUCUGAGCCGGGCUCUCAAUUUGGCUGCAAAGGUUAACUAAGCUCCAUCCGCAGAUCAAUUAAUCACUAACAAAUGCCGGCAGCCCCUUUCAGGCCACAGGAUGUGUUAUAGACAGACUGCCAAGUCACUUGAAAUCUGUGAACAUUCAAAUCGCUUCCGAGCUGAGUUCUAUUCUAGAACGUGGCAAUUUCGUACCUUUGUUCGGCUCUGAUUCUUCAUAAGCUGGUAAUGGGUACAUGGGGAGUGUAGAGUGAGAUUGGAUGGCUUCCAUUUAGGACGACAGAAACGGACAUUUGGACAGAAACAGCGGAAUCGUCAUUGACCUUCACAAUGCCCCUGCACCUCCACGGCGGGAAGGGAGAUCUCAAAAGACAAGCACGACACUGACAAGCGUCCGUGUUGUUAGUGAGGCACUCAGCUCGGCCGGCGCAAGGCCGGUCUGGCCAGGGAUCCCUGAAUUCCCACUUAAACCUGUCACUAAUCCAUCACUGAGUUCUCUGCGCUGACCACAACCCACCUGUCAAUAUGAUCACGUGUCAGGAGAACGUCCACCCCCUGCAGCUUCCUGAGAAAAGGCACCCAGGAGCUGGUUCUCAGACAUCUUGCAGAAUUAUGUAAAAUCAGCAUGGCCAGAUUCAUUGCCACCAGUGCCUUCCCAGAUUGGACAUGGGACCUUGGGCCACCAUGCCGGGAGCCACCUCCGUGCUCCUCCAAAACUGUCAGGUGCUCCAGGAGAGACUCAGACCCCUGGGCAUGUCACCUGGACAGCCUGACACAGAGCAGGCCCAUGUUCCCCACCCUGGCCACCCUCCGCCAGAGGUGGGCCCUGGCAGAGCACCUUUGUGGUUCUAGAAGCACAGCCAGCCCUUCAGAGCACCUGGAGGCUGGCAUGAGCCCCCUCCUGCCUCGGGCUACCACCCUGUUUUACCUUCUGUUGCUGAGGGCAGGGAACCUCCAGGAGACCAGGCGCAGGAAGGCAGCCAGCCCCGCGGCCUCUGAAACCACA